GAAGUCGGAAUUGCUAGUAAUCGCGGAUCAGCAUGCCGCGGUGAAUACGUUCCCGGGCCUUGUACACACCGCCCGUCACACCAUGGGAGCCGGUAAUACCCGAAGUCAGUAGUCCAACCACGUGAGGACGCUGCCGAAGGUAGGAUUGGCGACGGGGGUGAAGUCGUAACAAGGUACC
rnacentral:rRNA from 1 species